rnacentral:rRNA from 1 species
AGAGUUUGAUCAUGGCUCAGAUUGAACGCUGGCGGCAGGCCUAACACAUGCAAGUCGAACGGUAACAGGAAGCAGCUUGCUGCUUCGCUGACGAGUGGCGGACGGGUGAGUAAUGUCUGGGAAGCUGCCUGAUGGAGGGGGAUAACUACUGGAAACGGUAGCUAAUACCGCAUAAUGUCGCAAGACCAAAGAGGGGGACCUUCGGGCCUCUUGCCAUCGGAUGUGCCCAGAUGGGAUUAGCUUGUUGGUGGGGUAACGGCUCACCAAGGCGACGAUCCCUAGCUGGUCUGAGAGGAUGACCAGCCACACUGGAACUGAGACACGGUCCAGACUCCUACGGGAGGCAGCAGUGGGGAAUAUUGCACAAUGGGCGCAAGCCUGAUGCAGCCAUGCCGCGUGUAUGAAGAAGGCCUUCGGGUUGUAAAGUACUUUCAGCGGGGAGGAAGGGAGUAAAGUUAAUACCUUUGCUCAUUGACGUUACCCGCAGAAGAAGCACCGGCUAACUCCGUGCCAGCAGCCGCGGUAAUACGGAGGGUGCGAGCGUUAAUCGGAAUUACUGGGCGUAAAGCGCACGCAGGCGGUUUGUUAAGUCAGAUGUGAAAUCCCCGGGCUCAACCUGGGAACUGCAUCUGAUACUGGCAAGCUUGAGUCUCGUAGAGGGGGGUAGAAUUCCAGGUGUAGCGGUGAAAUGCGUAGAGAUCUGGAGGAAUACCGGUGGCGAAGGCGGCCCCCUGGACGAAGACUGACGCUCAGGUGCGAAAGCGUGGGGAGCAAACAGGAUUAGAUACCCUGGUAGUCCACGCCGUAAACGAUGUCGACUUGGAGGUUGUGCCCUUGAGGCGUGGCUUCCGGAGCUAACGCGUUAAGUCGACCGCCUGGGGAGUACGGCCGCAAGGUUAAAACUCAAAUGAAUUGACGGGGGCCCGCACAAGCGGUGGAGCAUGUGGUUUAAUUCGGUGCAACGCGAAGAACCUUACCUGGUCUUGACAUCCACGGAAGUUUUCAGAGAUGAGAAUGUGCCUUCGGGAACCGUGAGACAGGUGCUGCAUGGCUGUCGUCAGCUCGUGUUGUGAAAUGUUGGGUUAAGUCCCGCAACGAGCGCAACCCUUAUCCUUUGUUGCCAGCGGUCCGGCCGGGAACUCAAAGGAGACUGCCAGUGAUAAACUGGAGGAAGGUGGGGAUGACGUCAAGUCAUCAUGGCCCUUACGACCAGGGCUACACACGUGCUACAAUGGCGCAUACAAAGAGAAGCGACCUCGCGAGAGCAAGCGGACCUCAUAAAGUGCGUCGUAGUCCGGAUUGGAGUCUGCAACUCGACUCCAUGAAGUCGGAAUCGCUAGUAAUCGUGGAUCAGAAUGCCACGGUGAAUACGUUCCCGGGCCUUGUACACACCGCCCGUCACACCAUGGGAGUGGGUUGCAAAAGAAGUAGGUAGCUUAACCUUCGGGAGGGCGCUUACCACUUUGUGAUUCAUGACUGGGGUGAAGUCGGAACAAGGUA